AUGGUAGGAGAGCGUUCUAAGGGCGUUGAAGCAUGAUCGUAAGGACAUGUGGAGCGCUUAGAAGUGAGAAUGCCGGUGUGAGUAGCGAAAGACGGGUGAGAAUCCCGUCCACCGAUUGACUAAGGUUUCCAGAGGAAGGCUCGUCCGCUCUGGGUUAGUCGGGUCCUAAGCUGAGGCCGACAGGCGUAGGCGAUGGAUAACAGGUUGAUAUUCCUGUACCACCUAUAAUCGUUUUAAUCGAUGGGGGGACGCAGUAGGAUAGGCGAAGCGUGCGAUUGGAUUGCACGUCUAAGCAGUAAGGCUGAGUAUUAGGCAAAUCCGGUACUCAUUAAGGCUGAGCUGUGAUGGGGAGAAGACAUUGUGUCUUCGAGUCGUU
rnacentral:rRNA from 1 species